AGUGAACGCUGGCGGUAGGCCUAACACAUGCAAGUCAAACGGCAGCACAGUAAGAGCUUGCUCUUACGGGUGGCGAGUGGCGGACGGGUGAGGAAUACAUCGGAAUCUACUUUUUCGUGGGGGAUAACGUAGGGAAACUUACGCUAAUACCGCAUACGACCUACGGGUGAAAGCAGGGGAUCUUCGGACCUUGCACGAUUGAAUGAGCCGAUGUCGGAUUAGCUAGUUGGCGGGGUAAAGGCCCACCAAGGCGACGAUCCGUAGCUGGUCUGAGAGGAUGAUCAGCCACACUGGAACUGAGACACGGUCCAGACUCCUACGGGAGGCAGCAGUGGGGAAUAUUGGACAAUGGGCGCAAGCCUGAUCCAGCCAUACCGCGUGGGUGAAGAAGGCCUUCGGGUUGUAAAGCCCUUUUGUUGGGAAAGAAAAGCAGCAGGUUAAUACCCCGCUGUUCUGACGGUACCCAAAGAAUAAGCACCGGCUAACUUCGUG
rnacentral:rRNA from 1 species